CCGCGCCACAAGUGGCAAUCGUUCUUAUUGGGCCUAAAGCGUCCGUAGCUGGUUUAGAAAAUCUUCUGUGAAAAUGUUCGGCUCAACCGAACAACGUGCAGGAGACACUCCUAAACUCGGAACCGGUAGGGGUCAGAAGUAUGUUAGGGGUAACGGUAAAAUGUUAUAAUCCCUGAUAGACUACCUGUGGCGAAGGCGUCUGACUAGGACGGAUUCGACAGUGAGGGACGAAAGCCAGGGGAGCGAACCGGAUUAGAUACCCGAGUAGUCC
rnacentral:rRNA from 1 species